UUUAUGAGCACAGAGCCUGCUAUCAAGUGCUGAUACAAGGUAUGAAGGAAGGUUAGCUUCUCCUGUGAGAAAAAAAGAAAUUAAUUCCAGUAUAUAAACACUGUAAGAAGUAAAACACAUAAUACACAUGGUGAAGAAUUUAUGUCAAAAAUCCUGGAAAGGAAGUGUAGAAGCCAAAAGACCCAGGUUUUAAGGCCAGCUCUGCUCCAACGGAGGACACGAUCUGAGUCAGUGUCUGUUCAGCCUUACUUGUCUGUAAAGCCUUCCUUGGCUUUAACAUGAGGUAUCUGGACCAGCUGCUUCUAAGCUCUUCUAACUCCACCCCCUUGGUCUCCCCACUGCUGUCUCUGGCACUGGUUCACAACAAAGCGCAUUACUAAGCCAAAGCCUGCUGAGUCGACUUUUCAACUGUGCUGAGGAUCAUGUGACAUUCAUCCUCCCAAAUAACAAUUCGCUGUGGGUAAUAUGUUCCUACUUACCCUGCAGCUUCCAGAGCUAGGCCUCAGAAGAGGUGCAUAAACUACUAACAGUACAGGUUGUCUUGUCUCACUGGGAAA